GAUGAACGCUGGCGGCGUGCCUAACACAUGCAAGUCGAACGAAGCACCUUACCUGAUUCUUCGGAUGAAAGCUUGGUGACUGAGUGGCGGACGGGUGAGUAACGCGUGGGUAACCUGCCCUGUACAGGGGGAUAACAGCUGGAAACGGCUGCUAAUACCGCAUAAGCGCACGAGGAGACAUCUCCUUGUGUGAAAAACUCCGGUGGUACAGGAUGGGCCCGCGUCUGAUUAGCUGGUUGGCAGGGUAACGGCCUACCAAGGCAACGAUCAGUAGCCGGUCUGAGAGGAUGAACGGCCACAUUGGAACUGAGACACGGUCCAAACUCCUACGGGAGGCAGCAGUGGGGAAUAUUGCACAAUGGGGGAAACCCUGAUGCAGCAACGCCGCGUGAGUGAAGAAGUAUUUCGGUAUGUAAAGCUCUAUCAGCAGGGAAGAUAAUGACGGUACCUGACUAAGAAGCGCCGGCUAAAUACGUG
rnacentral:rRNA from 1 species